GCAGUCGUGGCCGAGUGGUUAAGGCGUUGGACUAGAAAUCCAUUGGAAUCUCUCCCGGACAGGUUGGAAUCCUGUCGACUGCG
rnacentral:tRNA from 1 species